rnacentral:rRNA from 1 species
UACGUAGGGUGCAAGCGUUGUCCGGAAUUAUUGGGCGUAAAGAGCGUGUAGGCGGCCCGAUUAGUCCGCUGUGAAAGUCCAGGGCUCAACCCUGGAAUGCCGGUGGAUACUGUCGGGCUAGAGUCCGGAAGGGGCGAGUGGAAUUCCUGGUGUAGCGGUGAAAUGCGCAGAUAUCAGGAAGAACACCCGUGGCGAAGGCGGAUCUCUGGGCCUUACCUGACGCUCGAGGCGCGAAAGCUAGGGGAGCGAACUGG